GGGAGUCUGGCCGAGCGGUUAAGGCGCUGGUUUUAGGCUUACGUAAGCGAUCACCAGUGGGGUUGCCCGCGCAGGUUCGAAUCCUGCGGCUCUCA